rnacentral:misc_RNA from 1 species
GUAGGUGAACCUGCGGAAGGAUCAUUAAUAAAUGCUUCAUUGCAUCCACCUUUUGUGCACUGUAAAUAUAUCACUUGAAUUUUGUCUGAUUAAUCUUUGUUCUGAAAGGAACAUGAAUUAUAAUCUAAUACAACUUUCAACAACGGAUCUCUUGGUUCUG